UGGGAUUCUGUAGACCGACAAGGGCAGAGAAGAUCUCGCUUAUGUUCUCAAGAAUAUCCAAGUGCAGACAAGUGAUCUCAGAAAUACUAGAUCAAAGUGUAUUUGGAGGACCGACUAAAGUGCAAAAGCUAAGAGUAGAUUUCUAGAUAAAAGCUGAAAAAUGUAGAUAAAGCUUAAUAUUUUUGUUGGUGACACUAGCAUUGCAAUCUUCUCCAAAAUAGAAGGGAAAGAUGCAAGAUUUGAAGAUCUAUGCCUAAUAAUAUAUAUCAACAAGCUAAACUUUUCCAUAGAUUUUCCCAAAGACAUAUGUGGUUCAAAAAGGUUAGCAAAAAGUCUACAACUUUGUAUUUGGCAGGUUUUAGUAAGCCUGCAAUGAUGCAAACUGCAUUUUAAGUAACGGGCAAUUCUUUUCUGGGCACCGACAUCCAAAUCAGUUCAAAAGUACAACCAAUAGUCACUGGUCAGUAGGAAAUAAACAUCAAGAACAGCUGGAACAAAAUGAAGAAUGAUAACAAUAACUAAAAAAAUUAGGGACCAGAAGGCAGAUCAUCUCCAACGGAAUCAACAGCAUGGCUAGUACUCAUAGUUCUUGUAUCCCUAUCAAUCUCUGUCUUGAUCUUAGUCUGAUGAGCAGGCUGACUUUGUAUAACGCCUCUUCCAUUAUCUGUAAAGGACUUGACUAGGUGAAACUUGCCAGGUUGGGGUUGUGACAAGUUCAGUUGUUCAAUAUAGUUCAAACGGUUGACCAGCCAUUUCACAUUGUAAGGUCUUUGCAAAUCAGAAAUUAGAGCUCUGUACUCCGCUAUCAUCUCAGUAUCAACCUCAGUCAGAGAAGUUUCAAUAAAGGUUUUCACUGUGGUG
rnacentral:lncRNA from 1 species